rnacentral:rRNA from 1 species
UACGUAGGGACCAAGCGUUGUUCGGAUUUACUGGGCGUAAAGGGCGCGUAGGCGGCAAUUCAAGUCAUCUGUGAAAUCUCCGGGCUUAACCCGGAACGGUCAGGUGAUACUGUUUUGCUAGAGUGCGGAAGGGGCAAUCGGAAUUCUCGGUGUAGCGGUGAAAUGCGUAGAUAUCGGGAGGAAUACCUAUGGCGAAGGCAGGUUACUGGGCCAUCACUGACGCUGAGCUGCGAAAGCUAGGGGAGCAAACAGG